AGCUGAACAAGAAGAAGCUGCAAAUGAUAAUUUCACAGAUGACAUCACAUAUAGUGACAUCAAAUCAUCACAUCAUCAGCAAAGGGCAAUCAAACACCUCAGAGACAUUGAUCCAGCUGUGGUGUACUCAGCAGUGAGAACUGAAGAUGUCACUUAUGGACAAAUAGCCAUCAAACCAAAGAAGAUAAGAGACUUUAAACCAGAGCC